GUGAGGAAUUUUCCGCAAUGGGCGAAAGCCUGACGGAGCAAUGCCGCGUGAAGGAUGAAGGCCUAUGGGUUGUAAACUUCUUUUCUCAGAAAAGAAUUAUGACGGUAUCUGAGGAAUAAGCAUCGGCUAACUCUGUGCCAGCAGCCGCGGUAAGACAGAGGAUGCAAGCGUUAUCCGGAAUGAUUGGGCGUAAAGCGUCUGUAGGUUGUUUAAAAAGUAUUCUGUCAAAGAUUAGGGCUUAACCCUAGAUAGGCAGAAUAAACUUUUAAGCUAGAGUUUGGUAGAGGCAGAGGGAAUUCCCGGUGGAGCGGUGAAAUGCGUAGAUAUCGGGAGGAACACCAAAGGCGAAGGGACUCUGCUGGGCCAAUACUAACACUGAGAGACGAAAGCGAGGGGAGCAAAUGGGAUUAGAAACCCCUGUAGUCC
rnacentral:rRNA from 1 species